AGGCAUGGAAAUAAAUUCUGAAAUUUUACCAAAAUGAUCUACACUCAUGGUAGAUCAUUUCAUAUGAAGAAGUCACGAGCCAAAUCUGAAGUCUUGUUGGAGAAAUAAUUGAAGGAAUAAAGGGGCAGAAACUGAUCUAAAAACAGCUCAACACCACAUGUUCAAGUUUCCUACCCACAUGAAGAAAGCUAGAUGCUUUUCUCUUUUUCCUUGGAUAUAUUUUUCUGCUCCAAUAGAUCAUCAUCACUUCCAUACUUCUGCACCUUCAUGCCUUGCUUUCAUUUCAUCAUUACUCCAUCUUUUCCAUAUUUUACAAACCACUUUCAUUAUUUUUCUUCCAUUUAUCAUUUCACUCUUCUUUUUCUUCCCUAUAUAAACACCUUCUCCUCUCACUCUAACGACAUUCCUUCAUCCAUUCCAUCUUCUUUGUCUCUCCAUUUCCUUUCCAUUUUCCUUUCCAACAUCCUCUAGGGCAAGCCACGAAGUUCAAGCAAGGCCAAGGAAGAGAAGAACCAAGCCGUGAGCAUCAUCAUCCAUCCUCCACCUUUGAAGCUUGCUUUCGAGUCUCAAAGGAUUCAACGUUAUUCACCCAUCUUCAUCUUCCAUCCACGGUGUACCCUCAAUCCCCGGAAUAGAACGAUCCCUACUUGCUUAUACUACUAAUGAUAUUUAUAGGGUUAAAUUAUGCGCUUGCUUUGAGCGUAUCAAUUUUUGGCGCCGUUGCCGGGGAUUGAAAAAUCACUUGUUUUUGUUUAUAAUUGUUGUAUAUAAACUGUUUGAUACUUAGUUUAAAUUAACUAGGUUGUUUUUUUUUAUUGUUGAAUACGAGUUUAAUUGUGAGUUGUAAAUUAAAGAAGGAAUAGGUGAAGUCGUGUUUAUUAAUAUUGGCCUAAACCCCUUAUUGGUACCUAGUUCAGGUCCCUUAAUGUUGAGGGCGGCCUUUAUUAACAUUCAUUGAACUGUCUAACACACUUAGGACCUUUUACAUCCUAGUAAGAAUAUCCUAUGUGAGAUGGUGUCUAGGAAGGGGAUAACGUUCAUGACGGGUUUUUGAAUCCAGAUCGAAGUGCAUAUAAAUGGGCUUAGCUCAUGCCAAAAUGGAUUUUUCCUCUCGUGUUCACCCUCCCCUACCUGGCCAUUUCAGUAAGGUUGCCCAACGGAUGUAGGAGGGACUUUGUGUCUAGACGACUAUAUUUGGGCCGCACGUCCACUUGAUUUACCGCUUGGAAUUAGAUUUGAUAUCAAUAAUGUUUAUAACAAAAGAAAUACUUGUGCAUACUCUUUACGUGUAAAUUAUUUUGUUGUUUCACACUUUAUACUUGUAAAAAUACUUUUUUUUACGUUUUAUACUCACUUGUAUACUUAACUUGUGUCUUAUGUACAAAAUACUUGUUAAUUAUACUUGUAGUUUGUAAUUCAUAGUUACUUGUUUAUUUUUUUUGUAUUUCUUUGUUAAUAUUAAGUUACUAACUUUAUUUAAUGUAGGUACCGUCUGGCUGCAAGACGUAAAAUACAAGCGCUGCUUGGGAGGCAACCCAAUUCAGAAUAUAAUCAGAUUUGCUUUCUCUUCCCCUUUUACUCCUCCAUUUUCUUUUUGUUUUAGUAGUUAUUUUCGUAAAUUUCAUCCCUAUAUGCUUACUUAUUUCAUUGCAUGCUUUUAAUUGAUUACAUUGAGGAUAAUGCAAUAUUUAAGUGUGGGGGAAGGGAUUUAUAUUUUUGUCUUUCAUUUUGAAUCCUAUAAAUAUUUUUGUCUUUCAUUUUGAGUCCUAUAAAUAUUUUUGAGUCCUAUAUUUUAAAAAAAAAAAAAAUAAUAAUAAUAA